UAAUAUAAGUCUAUAGAAGUCCCAAUAACUUCAGUUUCUCUUAAUAUAAAUCUUUAUAGUGUCAGAAAUAGUUUAUAAUUUAUAGAAGCACCGAUGAAAUCUUAUUAUAUAAAGUAUGGUUUUCAAAGUUGCUAACUCAUAGGAUCGUGUCACGUGUCAAGUCAAACGAUCGGAUCUUUACAUGUGUCAUUCAAAAUUUAACUUUUUUAUUCUCUUUA
rnacentral:sRNA from 1 species